rnacentral:tRNA from 1 species
GCAUCGGUGGUGGAAGGGCACAUACUCUUCCAUGGAGCUUUUCCGGGUUCAAGUCCCGGCCGAUGCG